CAGCAGCCGCGGUAAUGCGUAGGUGGCAAGCGUUGUCCGGAAUUAUUGGGCGUAAAGGGCUCGCAGGCGGUUUCUUAAGUCUGAUGUGAAAGCCCCCGGCUCAACCGGGGAGGGUCAUUGGGAACUGGGAAACUUGAGUGCAGAAGAGAAGAGUGGAACUCCACGUGUAGCGGUGAAAUGCGUAGAGAUGUGGAGGAACACCAGUGGCGAAGGCGACUCUCUGGUCUGUAACUGACGCUGAGGAGCGAAAGCGUGGGGAGCGAACAGGAUUAGAUACCCCAGUAGUCCCUGUCUCUUAUAC
rnacentral:rRNA from 1 species